UUCUCUACGGAAUAGUCCUGGGAAACUGGGGGUAAUACCGUAUACGCCCUUUGGGGGAAAGAUUUAUCGGGGAAGGAUUAGCCCGCGUUGGAUUAGGUAGUUGGUGGGGUAAUGGCCUACCAAGCCGACGAUCCAUAGCUGGUUUGAGAGGAUGAUCAGCCACACUGGGACUGAGACACGGCCCAGACUCCUACGGGAGGCAGCAGUGGGGAAUCUUAGACAAUGGGGGCAACCCUGAUCUAGCCAUGCCGCGUGAGUGAUGAAGGCCUUAGGGUUGUAAAGCUCUUUCAGCUGGGAAGAUAAUGACGGUACCAGCAGAAGAAGCCCCGGCUAACUCCGUGCCAGCAGCCGCGGUAAUACGGAGGGGGCUAGCGUUGUUCGGAAUUACUGGGCGUAAAGCGCACGUAGGCGGACCGGAAAGUUGGGGGUGAAAUCCCGGGGCUCAACCUCGGAACUGCCUUCAAAA
rnacentral:rRNA from 1 species